GAUUGUACAGAAGGCAACGAACCGAAAAGAAUUUGCAAAGGAGGAUUGGUGGAAAUGGUGAAGAUAUACUGACUUGUGUACUAGAUACAACGACAUGUAUAGCGGAAGGAGCUGAUUGUACAAAUGGCAACGAACCGAAAAGAAUUUGUAGUAAAAGAGGACUUGGUGGAGAUGGUGAAGAUAUUCUGAUAUGUGUACUAGCUGGACAAACAACAGGUUAAAAGAAAACAAAUACGGCUGCGAAAAAAAAGUGCCAGACAAAAGAAAACAUUGAAGUUGAAGAAGAAAAGAUGGAACACAUCGAUAUUUUUUAUUCACUGAUCUGAAAACAAAUUUGAAAAUAAAACUGUUUGGCUGAUGUUUAUAAUAUUAAAAGACCUUAAUGAUAUGUCAUGCUGAAUGAAUUAGGCGCGUGCUAAUAUAAAAUUUAUAUCAUAUGCAUAUUAUAUAUGUAUUGGAUAUUCUGUGCUAUCUCGAAUUUGUUGUAAAGAUGUUUUUAAAUGUGUCUGUUUCAUUGAUAGAUCGAAUUAUUUUUCAAUGAGUGAGUAUCGCAUGAAAUAUUUUGGAGAAUGGCGUACCCUCGAAUAAAUAUACCAAUUCUUGUGUUAACGAGCGAAACAUAUUUGAACGUCCAUGUGAUACACCAAUUUUUCGUUUUAUUCAUGUUUUCAAUCGUUUUAACUAAUUUUUUAUAUAUUGGAUAUCUUUCAAAUGUAUUUGAAAAGUGCUCUUCACUGUCAAAUUCUGUAAAUAGCAUAA
rnacentral:lncRNA from 1 species